rnacentral:rRNA from 1 species
UACGUAGGUGGCAAGCGUUGUCCGGAUUUAUUGGGUUUAAAGGGUGCGUAGGCGGCCCUGUAAGUCAGUGGUGAAAUACUCUAGCUUAACUAGAGGGGUGCCAAUGAUACUGCAGGGCUUGAGUACAGAUGAGGUAGGCGGAAUUGACGGCGUAGCGGUGAAAUGCAUAGAUAUCGUCAAGAACACCUAUAGCGAAGGCAGCUUACUGGGCUGUAACUGACGCUGAGGCACGAAAAGUGUGGGGAUCAAACAGG